ACGACUCUCAGCAACGGAUAUCUUGGCUCUUGCAACGAUGAAGAACGCAGCGAAAUGC
rnacentral:rRNA from 1 species